rnacentral:rRNA from 1 species
GUGGGGAAUAUUGCGCAAUGGGGGAAACCCUGACGCAGCAAUACCGCGUGAGUGAAGAAGGUUUUCGGAUCGUAAAACUCUUUUAUUGGGGAAGAAGAAGUGACGGUACCCAAUGAAGAAGUCCCGGCUAACUACGUGCCAGCAGCCGCGGUAAUACGUAGGGGACAAGCGUUGUCCGGAAUCACUGGGCGUAAAGGGCGCGUAGGCGGUUUUAUAAGUCAGAUGUGAAAGGUACCGGCUCAACCGGUGACGUGCAUUUGAAACUGUAAGACUUGAGUACUGGAGAGGCAAGUGGAAUUCCUAGUGUAGCGGUGAAAUGCGUAGAUAUUAGGAGGAACACCGGUGGCGAAGGCGGCUUGCUGGACAGAUACUGACGCUGAGGUGCGAAAGCGUGGGGAGCGAACAGGAUUAGAAACCCUGGAGUCC